GACGCAGUAGUAAAGUGGUAAUGCUGUGGAUUGUAAUUCCGCUAUCGUCGGUUUUAUUCCGGCCCGCGUCUCCA
rnacentral:tRNA from 1 species